GUUGGUGACUAACACCCCACCCCUUGGUACUUUGUCUUUGCCUUUGUCCCUUAAUAUAAAAUACAUAGGCGUAUGUGCUUAGCACAUUUAAAGUUCAAAGUUCAUAAAGGGAGGAAUAGAAAUAUGACGUCACAAUAUGAAGAUUACAUCAUAUACCAAACGAUAGCUUAUUCAGUCCUGAUAAAAAAAUGUCGUGGGGGCUGGAUUUGAGAGAUUCGGAGGUUUAUGUACUUCUAAACGGAAGAAGGGCGAGAGAUAUCAACACUGGAGAGGAGUUUGGUGCCGUCGAAUUCCUUGACCAUGGGAGGACAGCAGAUGAGCUCUGGGUGAGUAAUCAUAAAGACAUCAAAUCUUAUUUUAAAGUCAAAUUUUCAGUUCCUUCCAAAUUUGGGAGAGGGGUACAUGGGAGCCAUAAUUUAUCAUUAUUAUAAAUGUCGGUUUUAGACAAAUGUUUGCUGCGUGAUCAAGUGGGAAGGGGAGGGGUUAUCACCCCCCCCCUCCAUUUUUAUGUACGUGCCUUAAAACGUUAUGAAAAUAUAAGAGCAUUUUUGUAAUAUGCUUUAUAGUAUAAAUAAAACAUUAAAUUUUUUAAAAAGAACUCAUUGCAUGAGGGAAUAUUAAUGUUUUAAUGUUUUCGGCAGAUGUUGCAAGAUAUGAUCUUUUAUUUAUAUAAUUUGACAGCUUCGGUUUCAUGGAACCAAAACAGGCCGACGCCUGCUUAGAAGCAGGUUUCGGUCAUGUUGCGAGGAGCUUCAGGAGCUGGACUCCGUUAGCAGCAAUGCUGAAUUUUUAAAUGUGCUAAAAAACAGCACUGCAAACAUUGGCCCUAAACGAAGCCCCGGGCCCACUGCCAAGAAAAGAAAAUCACAACCCCAGCUACCAGUACCAAACAACGUCCCCUUGCCUUCAGAGACAACACUGUCGGCUGAGCAAGUUAUUGUGGCAGAUAAAAAAGUUGGGGAAUUCAACGUAAGCUUAGAAAGGUUAAGCAUGGCUCCACAAGAAUUCAGAUGCAGAGAUGUUGACACUAAAUGGGCAUCGGAGAUCAAAAACAGUAUUAGAAGUGCUCCCGGGUCCAUUAUCACGACGUUGCCAGCCUUGCUUGACCCCUCAGUGAUUGCAGAUCCUUCAGAAUUUAAAGCAGAAACUGUUAAGGAUGUCAACAUAAAAAUGUUUCUGUUAGGUGGUAACCAUCUAACGUCAGCAUGUAGGCAGCUUUUGCUUGAGGAGCCUGACAAUGAAAUUUUUUCAUAUUAUCGGCAUGUCAACAUUGAAUUAUACGUUGGUCUGACCCCCGAAGAAGCAAAGCUUGUGGGCAACGUACAUAAUAGGGCCACCUCUUCCAAAAGUAUUCUUUUCCAGGAUUUGGUGCGCCAGGCCCGUUCAAUUUACAUAAGAGAUGAAACGGGG